rnacentral:rRNA from 1 species
AUUGAACGCUGGCGGAAUGCUUUACACAUGCAAGUCGAACGGCAGCACGGACUUCGGUCUGGUGGCGAGUGGCGAACGGGUGAGUAAUGUAUCGGAACGUGCCCAGUCGUGGGGGAUAACGUAGCGAAAGUUACGCUAAUACCGCAUACGAUAUAAGGAUGAAAGCGGGGGAUCGCAAGACCUCGCGCGAUUGGAGCGGCCGAUAUCAGAUGAGGUAGUUGGUGGGGUAAAGGCUCACCAAGCCAACGAUCUGUAGGUGGUCUGAGAGGACGACCAGCCACACUGGAACUGAGACACGGUCCAGACUCCUACGGGAGUCAGCAGUGGGGAAUUUUGGACAAUGGACGCAAGUCUGAUCCAGCCAUUCCGCGUGCAGGAUGAAGGCCCUCGGGUUGUAAACUGCUUUUGUACGGAACGAAAAGGUCUCUCUUAAUACGGGGGACUCAUGACGGUACCGUAAGAAUAAGCACCGGCUAAUUACGUGCCAGCCGCCGCGGUAA